AUUGAACGCUGGCGGCAUGCCUUACACAUGCAAGUCGAACGGUAACAGGUUAAGCUGACGAGCGGCGAACGGGUGAGUAAUGUAUCGGAACGUGCCCAGUCGUGGGGGAUAACUGCUCGAAAGAGCAGCUAAUACCGCAUACGACCUGAGGGUGAAAGCGGGGGAUCGCAAGACCUCGCGCGAUUGGAGCGGCCGAUAUCAGAUUAGGUAGUUGGUGGGGUAAAGGCCCACCAAGCCGACGAUCUGUAGCUGGUCUGAGAGGACGACCAGCCACACUGGGACUGAGACACGGCCCAGACUCCUACGGGAGGCAGCAGUGGGGAAUUUUGGACAAUGGGCGCAAGCCUGAUUCAGCCAUGCCGCGUGCGGGAAGAAGGCCUUCGGGUUGUAAACCGCUUUUGUCAGGGAAGAAAAGGUUCUGGCUAAUAUCCGGGACUCAUGACGGUACCUGAAGAAUAAGCACCGGCUAACUACGUGCCAGCCGCCGCAGUAACAC
rnacentral:rRNA from 1 species